rnacentral:rRNA from 1 species
AGCGAACGCUGGCGGCAGGCCUAACACAUGCAAGUCGAACGGACCCUUCGGGGUUAGUGGCGGACGGGUGAGUAACACGUGGGAACGUGCCUUUAGGUUCGGAAUAGCUCCUGGAAACGGGUGGUAAUGCCGAAUGUGCCCUUCGGGGGAAAGAUUUAUCGCCUUUAGAGCGGCCCGCGUCUGAUUAGCUUGUUGGUGGGGUAAUGGCCCACCAAGGCUACGAUCAGUAGCUGGUCUGAGAGGAUGACCAGCCACAUUGGGACUGAGACACGGCCCAAACUCCUACGGGAGGCAGCAGUGGGGAAUCUUGCGCAAUGGGCGAAAGCCUGACGCAGCCAUGCCGCGUGUAUGUUGAAGGUCUUAGGAUUGUAAAAUACUUUCACCGGUGAAGAUAAUGACUGUAGCCGGAGAAGAAGCCCCGGCUAACUUCGUGCCAGCAGCCGCGGUAAUACGAAGGGGGCUAGCGUUGCUCGGAAUUACUGGGCGUAAAGGGAGCGUAGGCGGACAUUUAAGU